rnacentral:rRNA from 1 species
AAAUUGAAGAGUUUGAUCAUGGCUCAGAUUGAACGCUGGCGGCAGGCCUAACACAUGCAAGUCGAACGGUAGCACAGAGAGCUUGCUCUCGGGUGACGAGUGGCGGACGGGUGAGUAAUGUCUGGGAAACUGCCUGAUGGAGGGGGAUAACUACUGGAAACGGUAGCUAAUACCGCAUAACGUCGCAAGACCAAAGAGGGGGACCUUCGGGCCUCUUGCCAUCAGAUGUGCCCAGAUGGGAUUAGCUAGUAGGUGGGGUAAUGGCUCACCUAGGCGACGAUCCCUAGCUGGUCUGAGAGGAUGACCAGCCACACUGGAACUGAGACACGGUCCAGACUCCUACGGGAGGCAGCAGUGGGGAAUAUUGCACAAUGGGCGCAAGCCUGAUGCAGCCAUGCCGCGUGUAUGAAGAAGGCCUUCGGGUUGUAAAGUACUUUCAGCGGGGAGGAAGGUGUUGCGGUUAAUAACCGCAGCAAUUGACGUUACCCGCAGAAGAAGCACCGGCUAACUCCGUGCCAGCAGCCGCGGUAAUACGGAGGGUGCAAGCGUUAAUCGGAAUUACUGGGCGUAAAGCGCACGCAGGCGGUCUGUCAAGUCGGAUGUGAAAUCCCCGGGCUCAACCUGGGAACUGCAUUCGAAACUGGCAGGCUAGAGUCUUGUAGAGGGGGGUAGAAUUCCAGGUGUAGCGGUGAAAUGCGUAGAGAUCUGGAGGAAUACCGGUGGCGAAGGCGGCCCCCUGGACAAAGACUGACGCUCAGGUGCGAAAGCGUGGGGAGCAAACAGGAUUAGAUACCCUGGUAGUCCACGCCGUAAACGAUGUCGACUUGGAGGUUGUUCCCUUGAGGAGUGGCUUCCGGAGCUAACGCGUUAAGUCGACCGCCUGGGGAGUACGGCCGCAAGGUUAAAACUCAAAUGAAUUGACGGGGGCCCGCACAAGCGGUGGAGCAUGUGGUUUAAUUCGAUGCAACGCGAAGAACCUUACCUACUCUUGACAUCCAGAGAACUUAGCAGAGAUGCUUUGGUGCCUUCGGGAACUCUGAGACAGGUGCUGCAUGGCUGUCGUCAGCUCGUGUUGUGAAAUGUUGGGUUAAGUCCCGCAACGAGCGCAACCCUUAUCCUUUGUUGCCAGCGGUUAGGCCGGGAACUCAAAGGAGACUGCCAGUGAUAAACUGGAGGAAGGUGGGGAUGACGUCAAGUCAUCAUGGCCCUUACGAGUAGGGCUACACACGUGCUACAAUGGCGCAUACAAAGAGAAGCGACCUCGCGAGAGCAAGCGGACCUCAUAAAGUGCGUCGUAGUCCGGAUUGGAGUCUGCAACUCGACUCCAUGAAGUCGGAAUCGCUAGUAAUCGUAGAUCAGAAUGCUACGGUGAAUACGUUCCCGGGCCUUGUACACACCGCCCGUCACACCAUGGGAGUGGGUUGCAAAAGAAGUAGGUAGCUUAACCUUCGGGAGGGCGCUUACCACUUUGUGAUUCAUGACUGGGGUGAAGUCGUAACAAGGUAACCGUAGGGGAACCUGCGGUUGGAUCACCUCCUUA